GGAAUAUUGGUCAAUGGGCGCGAGCCUGAACCAGCCAAGUCGCGUGCAGGAUGACGGCCCUACGGGUUGUAAACUGCUUUUAUAUGGGAAUAAAGAUAGCUACGUGUAGUGAAAUGAAUGUACCAUUUGAAUAAGCAUCGGCUAACUCCGUGCCAGCAGCCGCGGUAAUACGGAGGAUGCGAGCGUUAUCCGGAUUUAUUGGGUUUAAAGGGUGCGUAGGUGGCUUGAUAAGUCAGCGGUGAAAGUUUGUCGCUUAACGAUAAAAUUGCCGUUGAAACUGUCCGGCUUGAGUGUAAAUGAAGUAGGCGGAAUGCGUGGUGUAGCGGUGAAAUGCAUAGAGAUCACGCAGAACUCCAAUUGCGAAGGCAGCUUACUAAGCUACAACUGACGCUGAAGCACGAAAGCGUGGGUAUCAAACAGGAUUAGAUACCCUGGUAGUCCACGCUGUAAACGAUGAUUACUAGGAGUUUGCGAUAGACAGCAAGUUCUACAGCGAAAGCGUUAAGUAAUCCACCUGGGGAGUACGCCGGCAACGGUGAAACUCAAAGGAAUUGACGGGGGCCCGCACAAGCGGAGGAACAUGUGGUUUAAUUCGAUGAUACGCGAGGAACCUUACCCGGGAUUGAAAUGUACCUGACGAGUCGUGAGAGCGGCUUUCUAGCAAUAGCAGGUAUGUAGGUGCUGCAUGGUUGUCGUCAGCUCGUGCCGUGAGGUGUCGGCUUAAGUGCCAUAACGAGCGCAACCCUGAUCGUUAGUUGCUAACAGGUAAAGCUGAGGACUCUGGCGAGACUGCCGGCGUAAGCUGUGAGGAAGGUUGGGAUGACGUCAAAUCAGCACGGCCCUUACAUCCGGGGCGACACACGUGUUACAAUGGUGGGGACAAAGGGUAGCUACCGGGUGACCGGAUGCCAAUCUCAAAACCUCAUCUCAGUUCGGAUCGGAGUCUGCAACUCGACUCCGUGAAGCUGGAUUCGCUAGUAAUCGCGCAUCA
rnacentral:rRNA from 1 species